rnacentral:tRNA from 3 species
GGGGGAGUGGCGGAGCGGUCGAACGCGGCAGACUGUAAAUCUGUUAUCCCACACGGUGGUUCAAAUCCAUCCUCCCCCACCA